rnacentral:rRNA from 1 species
CCUACGGGAGGCAGCAGUGGGGGAUAUUGCACAAUGGGGGGAACCCUGAUGCAGCGACGCCGCGUGGGUGAAGGAGUGCUUCGGCAUGUAAAGCCCUAUCGGCAGGGAAGAAGCAAGACGGUACCUGACUAAGAAGCCCCGGCUAACUACGUCCCAGCAGCCGCGGUAAUACGGAGGGGGCGAGCGUUAUCCGGAUUCACUGGGUGUAAAGGGAGCGUAGACGGCCAUGCAAGCCAGGGGUGAAAGCCCGGGGCCCAACCCCGGGACUGCCCUUGGAACUGUGCGGCUAGAGUGCGGGAGGGGCAGGCGGAAUUCCUGGUGUAGCGGUGAAAUGCGUAGAGAUCAGGAGGAACACCGGCGGCGAAGGCGGCCUGCUGGACUGCGACUGACGUUGAGGCUCGAAAGCGUGGGGAGCGAACAGGAUUAGAUACCCUUGUAGUC